rnacentral:rRNA from 1 species
UACAGGAGGGGCAAGCGUUGUUCGGAAUUAUUGGGCGUAAAGGGCGCGUAGGCGGCCUUCUAAGUCGAACGUGAAAUCCCCGGGCUCAACCCGGGAACUGCGUCCGAUACUGGGAGGCUUGAAUCCGGGAGAGGGAUGUGGAAUUCCGAGGUGUAGCGGUGGAAAUGCGCAGGAUAUCAGGAGGAACACCGGUGGCGAAGGCGGGUCUCGUGGGCCGAUGACUGACGCUGGAGGAGCGAAAGCGUGGGGAGCGAACAGG